rnacentral:lncRNA from 1 species
UGGCGAUCAGAGCUAAAUAUUUUUGAAUGCCGGGACAGUGGCCAUAUUCAUAUCUCCUUCUCGCUGGCACUUAAAAUUUUCUGAUGUUUUAAUUAAAACUGAAUUUCAUGUAAACUAUUUGUUCGUAAAUUCUUGUUUGUACAUCGCUCAGUUUCUCAAAGAAAUGAAAUAUUGCAAGACGAGUGUGAUGGGUCCUAAAGACACAGACUUAUCACUUUUUUCAAACUUUUUUCUUUUUUCUUCGGAUUCUCCCAGAUCCCGUAGAAUACCUGGUGACGUGUUAAGUACCUACUCUGUCGAUGUCCAGGGAGUUGGGUAAUUUACCAUGCCCAUGUGCAGCUUGAUGAAGCAAUCUAGAAACUGGAAUAUGCUUGUCAAAAAUGAAAUACUGCAGUAUGGUCUAAAGACUCUGGUCUGUCCAUUCAUAUUUUGAUCACAAUGUAACAGCUGUAAAAGUAUAUUGUCCUAGCUCAUUAAACAAUCUGGAAGUGGCAACGUUCUGUUACAAAUUAAGUUCAUAAUUUUAUUAACCCUAAUAGCUGCCCGAUUUGAUUGGUUCAAUGAAUGGUAUCUAUAUUACAAUACAUAUUCCUAACACUUGGCUAACCUCCCAUAUGUUGAUGGAACAGCAGCAGUAGAUUGUCUUGACCAAACCAAACCAAAUCUCAAAAUUGAUAGAGCUACCAGCAUUCUUCUUAAAAGUAUUUUUUUGAUGCUUCUGGCUGUUGCUUCCCUCCUACUCCUCCUAAUUUUUAACAGGAUUCACACACAGCAAAAAAUUUCCCGAUAUACCAAAAGAUUUGUUCUGUAUAUUAUAUAUAUAGUCUGUAAAACGAAUAACUUUGAAUUUGACAGUUCCCGCGGGCUUUUCUAGUGUAAAUUUUAUUAGGUU